GAUGAACGCUGGCGGCGUGCUUAACACAUGCAAGUCGAACGGGAUCCAAGGGGUGCUUGCACUUUUUGGUGAGAGUGGCGAACGGGUGAGUAACACGUGAGUAACCUGUCCUUUUCUUUGGGAUAAGCAUUCGAAAGGGUGUUUAAUACCUUAUGUUCUGUCUGCCUCGCAUGGGGUGGGUGGGAAAGGCUUUGGCCGGAUUUGGGUGGGCUCGCGGUCUAUCAGCUUGUUGGUGGGGUGAUGGCUUACCAAGGCUUUGACGGGUAGCCGGCCCGAGAGGGUGGGCGGUCACAGUGGGACUGGGAUACGGCCCAGACUCCUGCGGGAGGCAGCAGUGGGGGAUAUUGCACAAUGGGCGAAAGCCUGAUGCAGCGACGCCGCGUGGGGGAUGAAGGCCUUCGGGUUGUAAACUUCUUUUGCUCUGAACAAGGCAUGCCAGUGGGUGUGUUGAGUGUAGGGGUUGAUUAGCGCCGGCUAACUACGUG
rnacentral:rRNA from 1 species